rnacentral:rRNA from 1 species
GAUGAACGCUGGCGGCGUGCCUAAUACAUGCAAGUCGAGCGAACAGACGAGGAGCUUACUCCUCUGACGUUAGCGGCGGACGGGUGAGUAACACGUGGAUAACCUACCUAUAAGACUGGGAUAACUUCGGGAAACCGGAGCUAAUACCGGAUAACAUGUUGAACCGCAUGGUUCAACAGUGAAAGACGGUCUUGCUGUCACUUAUAGAUGGAUCCGCGUCGCAUUAGCUAGUUGGUAAGGUAACGGCUUACCAAGGCAACGAUGCGUAGCCGACCUGAGAGGGUGAUCGGCCACACUGGAACUGAGACACGGUCCAGACUCCUACGGGAGGCAGCAGUAGGGAAUCUUCCGCAAUGGGCGAAAGCCUGACGGAGCAACGCCGCGUGAGUGAAGAAGGUCUUCGGAUCGUAAUACUCUGUUAUUAGGGAAGAACAAAUGUGUAAGUAACUAUGCACGUCUUGACGGUACCUAAUCAGAAAGCCACGGCUAACUACGUG